CUGGCUUAUUCAUUUGGAAAGCCAGUGGGGCCAUGAGAAGAACCACAGCAGUUCACAGGUUCUCUGUGGAGAAAUGUCAUCUUGAGGUGUGUGGAGUGGCCAUACGGCACACGUUCUGGGAAUCCCAGUGGCAGAGUUUAUUGAUUGGGCAACUGAGGAGACCAGGAAGGUUUCCCUAAUUUAGCAACUGCAGAACAGAAUGGACCCUUUUCCAGGAAGAUGGUGGCCAGCACAGCCCAAAGGCCACCUCAGAACCAUGUGUCCAGUUCCCAGGUGAUAAGGAAAUAAUGCACAACAGGGCAGGCCUUUACCCCCUGCCCCAUUUUUGCCAUAAAAUGUUUGGUUCAAUAAACGUAACUGUUUGUACGUGAAGCAUGAUGUUUCUACCUAAGGUUUCAAGAAUGUUCUGUUAGGGCCAGGGAUUUAGCUUAGUGGUUUCCACCUGCUGUGCAAGUGCAAGGACCUGAGUUCAAUCCCCAGUACCAAAAAAAACCCAGAAUGUUUUGUUAACUCCACCUCCAGAGGUUCCCACUUCUAGCUAUGUCUUCACCCUAAAAAGUUCCUCUCAACUUCCUUUAACCAACUCUAUAUAAACUCACUCUCACUACAACUUGGGGCUCAGAAUUUGAAGUGCUUAAACUCCUCUGAGCCAGCUGGCUUAAUAAAGCUUGGCUUUUCUCCACCUCUUUGAGUG
rnacentral:lncRNA from 1 species